rnacentral:lncRNA from 1 species
CUGUCUGCUCAUUUGUGACAUGGAGCAUGAACCCUCCACCUCAGAGUUGUCCAGAGGACACAGUGCCUGCUCCAGGAGCUCAUGGGAUAUCAAGAUACCAUAUGUUAUACAUGCUGUGGUAAGAUGUGAAGAACAUACAUCUUGGGCUAGCCUCUGACCACCUUACACCAUAACCUGGCUUGGGCUAGCCUCUGACCUUAGCUUUCUCAUUCACUCUGCCAAAAUGCCCUUCUCCACCCCUUUCCUUAGCAAACUCUUUCUCACCCAUCAGAAGCCGAUCCAAUGGCCACCUGUCACAGCUUCUUCUGACUACUACAAAUGGCCGGUACCUUCUCUGUUCCUAUAGCACAUGGUUCACCCUACAGCUAUUGCCCUCUCCCUACAGACUCCGGGCUGCUUGGGGCUGAUGUUAAGACAGUUUGCCUUGGGACCCUCAGAACCAGGGCAUCUGCUCCAACACACAUUCUGGGCGAGCCCAAGGCACAGAGAAGUGAAGCAGAGAGUGUCCGCAUGGCUUCCCCACCAGCCACCGUUCCAGAGGAGGCAAGGCUCAGGCAUGUACCGGGAGGGUGGGGUCUGUCACAGUCACAUACCCACCUGCUCAGCCAUCAUUGUAGAGCCAGGCCAGGGUACCAAAGCUGACUGUUCAAAGAGAUAAAAGGCCGGGAAACAAGAGAAUACAAGGGAGGGAUGGGAAAAGAGGAGAAGGAAAAAAUAAUUUUUGAAAAAAAAAGGGGUUCUUUUGGUGUUUGUUUUCAAAGCCACUGACGAAAACCAGAUUUGAAGUUUGGGGUAAAAAGGG